UCGUGCUAGGUGGGGAGUUAGCGGUGCCCUGUAACCCGGAACCCGCUAUACCGGGGCUGAAAACCGCCCGCGGCCUGCCAGAUUGGUGGGUUUCCGGCCGGAUAAGCGAUGUUGAUGGCCGGGUCUUACGCAACGGAAACUCGCUUAACCCCGUCAGGACCGGAAGGUAGCAGCGGUCGGCGACCGCUUCCGUGUGCCGUAGGGUUGCCCGGUUGGAGUUGGCUGUUCGGUCGGGCCGAUCGAUCGGGGUCAACGGCGGGUGCACGG
rnacentral:SRP_RNA from 1 species